UACGUAGGUGGCAAGCGUUGUCCGGAUUUAUUGGGUUUAAAGGGUGCGUAGGCGGUUUUUUAAGUCAGUGCUGAAAUACUCCAGCUUAACUGGAGGGGUGGCAUUGAUACUGGAAGACUUGAGUACAGAUGAGGUAGGCGGAAUUGACGGUGUAGCGGUGAAAUGCAUAGACAUCGUCAAGAACACCGAUAGCGAAGGCAGCUUACUGGGCUGUAACUGACGCUGAUGCACGAAAGUGUGGGGAUCAAACAGG
rnacentral:rRNA from 1 species